UGGAUGUGGGGGGAGAACAACACUGCUGCACUGUACAGAUUAGUCUUAUCAUAGCAAGUUGAAAAUUGGUUAUAGCCCUCUCUCUUCCUUUCUCCGCCAUCGUGGUGUGUGUGGUGGACUCUGUUGCUCGCCAUGUCUUCUCACAAGACUUUCAGGAUCAAGCGAUUCCUGGCCAAGAAACAGAAGCAAAAUUGUCCCAUUAUCCAGAGGAUUUGGAUGAAAACUGGUAAUAAAUCGAUCCAACUCCAAGAGGAGACAUUGGAGAAGAGCCAAGCUGGGUCUAUAAGGAAUUGCACAUGAGGUGGCACACUUGUUUAUGUUGAAUUACGGUCACUAUCAUCUUGCCAUUAUCAAGUUGAAAAUCUCCACAGUCAAGAAGUCAGAUAUGUUUAAUUGGGAUGUGAUUUUUUGUUUAUGUGCUUUGCACUAAUGGGCUGACUCAGUAAUAAAUAUGAAACCUUUUGUCUGAAAAAGAAAUUA